rnacentral:lncRNA from 1 species
GACCUUUCAAAUACUGUCCCCAGUGCUGGGUUUCCAAGAGUGCUCAGUUUUGACCUGAUUAUGCUCUGCUGAAAUCUGUAAGGUAAAAGCAAUAUUGGCUUCGGCAGAAGUAGUUCGGCUGAUCCUGAGAGCUUCUGGAAAUCUGAAUGCAGGAGCAUCACACUGGGGCAGCAACUGGCCGAGGAAUGGGUCAUAAAGUGCCAGCUUCGUAGCUCAGUAACUACGCUACUGUUGAUGCCCCAUUGAGCAAGAUCCCUCUGUUCCUGCGUGGAGGCUGCAUUCUCCCAAAACAGGCACCAGCCACAAGAACAACUAAGAGCCGUCUGAACCCGUGUGGGCUCGUUGUUGCCCUGGAUGAUCAAGGAGAAGCUUCUGGGUCGCUCUUCUGGGAUGAUGGCGAUUCGAUUGGGAAUCUUGAAGACAGAAAUAGUUAAAAAUGGCUACCGAGGGGCUGACUCUCUGAAAUACAACACAAUUAUGAUCCUUGGACUGAACCGGAGACCUCAUGCUGUUGCUCUGAAUGGAAGGGCUGUGCGUAAAAAUGCUUUCUCUUGUCAGACAAACGGGCAAUUCACUUUACGGCUUUCUGCACCACUUACUCAGGAGCUCAGCACUGCCAUUUACUAGAAUGGUUAGAAAACCCUGACAUAAUUUAGCAGCCUUGGCCCUCAGAUAUUGAUCUCACUGAUGUAAAAAAGUAUCCAGUCAUUAAAACGUUGCCUAUGUGCCUGACCACUGCUCUUCUCCUGUGCUGCAUUUGUAAUUCAAUAUUCUUCAAAUAAAAUUUUCAUUAACAG